ACCCAACAAACGAGUUCCAAAUGGGACGAAACGCGAGUCCUGGAU
rnacentral:hammerhead_ribozyme from 1 species